rnacentral:lncRNA from 1 species
GGCGGGACGGCGGUGCCCGGUCCCUCGCAGUCCCCGAGGCUAUCUGGCGCCUCCCCCACGAUGCCCGCGGGGUCGCUGCUGUCACCCACCCACCGCCCCGGUCCCCUUUCUGCCCGCAAGAGACCUCUGCGGCGCUUCUGCCCCUAUUCCCGACUGCCACAAACACACCCACCCCCGCUGCCCUUUUCUUGCCCUUGCGACCCAGUUCCUGCUGAAUCCAGCUCCUGAGCAUCUGGGCCCCCAAGAGAUCCAUGUUUAUCCCGGCGGGCUCGCUCCCCGCUGGGCAGGUGCAUUGCGAGGGCUGCAGCUGCUGACCGAGCCCCAGCGAUGUGCCCCUUCAGCUCCGCCUGAGCCGCCGGCCUUUGUGGUUAUCCCUGGAGCGGGGGCUUGCGGUGCGCGCCGGAAAGCCUUCAGGAAAAAAGGAGACUAACAAAAAAUAUGAAACCAAGAUGCAAGCAGAUCCUCAAAGGAAACAUUCAAUAUAUGAAACUACUUUGAAUGACAUGUGGAUGCCUGGAACUGCAGAGCCAAACCCAAGCUUGUUCAAAACCUUGGAAUGUCCCAGCAGCAUCCCACUUCUUUGGACAGACAUCAGCUGCAGUCUAGUAUGUGAGGUAAGGUGAGGGAGGAAUAAUGAAGGAGAUGGCUGUGAUGAAAGGAUUAGUUAUCCUAAAUUAUUUUUCUUUUUUCAAAUUCAAUUUUAAACAUCACAGUAGGUGCCAAUAAAAAAUAUGCUCCUGGCAUAUCCUGGAAUUGUUAGGAGGAAUAGUUCACAGCAAACAAACAUGAGGAGUACAGUGAAAAAUUUAUAAAAAUAGAAAAAAUAUAAAAUCCAUCGCUUUCAACCAUACAUACCUCAUGAGAAUAAAGGUGUCCUGGGAGCACCCUGAUUACUGAUGUGAGUGUCUGCCUCACAAAGAAUCAGCUUACUUUUAGAAAUGGCGCAGCCAUUUAGAUGGCAGGGAUCAAAUGACCCAGUGUACAAAGAUGCACAACAGUGAGUACAAAAUGCUUCUGAUCUUUCCCUGGCCCAUUGUACACAGCUUCCUCUUAGGAGUGCUGUGACAAGUGAGCUGUUAUAUCCUGUUAUGUGACAGGGAAGUGACACAAGGCCAAUGAGACUGUCUCCAUCCAGCAGCUUGACCAACGGGUUUAUUUUCCAACUGAGAUGAGACUCUCCAACUCCCUGUCCCCAGCUUCUAGACACAGUUGGAUCACCAGUUAGGUUUACCAAGUGGACUUGGCAUCUGGUGUCCCAGAGUGGAAGAAGCUGAGAUGUAAAGGAUUAAGGUGUGAAAGUAGAGGUAAAAGUUGGAAAGCACCAGAAGAAAAUUAAGUCUAUGAACCACAGAGGUGAGAUGGAGUUUUACUGAGACCAUCUUUCCAAAAUGUAUGUAAAUUAACUGCAAAUAGAAAAGUUAACGCUAGAAUUAAAUCAUGAGAGUAGUGAUAGAGACAUGGAAAAUGGGGCCAAAAUGGCAGAAAGAGUUGUCUUAAUCCACCUUCCUGUGCCAAACCUGCAUAAAUGAGAGAGAUAUGAUUAUGGACUGGUGUCUGCUUUAUUAUUUUAAGGUAUUUAAUCUAAAGCAGAGAAUUUCACCAUUUCCCCAUGUAUUCUUGCCUAGUUUCUAUUGUCAAAAACUUUUUGCUAAUAUCUAAUAUAACUCUUCUAUUAUGUAAUUUUAGCACAUUCAUUUCUCUUGAUAUCCACAACAGAUACAGAGAACAGAUGACAACCUGUGAUUAUUUGAAAGCUUCUCUCAUCUCUCCAGUCAUUGAUUCAAUAAACUAAAACCCUAGCUUUCUUUCUUGCCUCAUUGGACAUGUUUUCUAAUUCUCUGGUCAUUUUCCUUUCUUUCUUUUGAACUGCCUCCACAUAUGAUGAAGUUCACUGCCCAGAAAUAGACAUGCAGCUCUCAAUAGCAAAGCUUCAUGUUUACUUUUACUGUAACAGUAUGACACUGUUGAUACAUAUCCCACUUGUGAGUCACUGCAACCUCAACAUCUUUUUCAGCAAAGUUGCUGCCUAGUCAGCUGUUUCCCAUUCUGUGUUAAUGCACUUGAUUUUUGCAAAUUAAGUGCAGACCUUACAUUCUUCUCUUUGAAGUAAGUUCAUCCUAGUUUUUUUGGCCAUCUGUCCCAUUUGUCAGGAUCACUUUGAUUGUUACUCCACCAGCUUUGUGACAUCUGCAAAUGUGCUAAACAUACUUUCUACUUCAUCAUCCAGGACUCUGAAGUAAAUACAAAACAUUACCAAACUCAGGACACGUCCCUGGAGAAUCUCAGGCAAGAGUUGUAGUAGUGAACCUUUGCUAACUAUUACCUUAUCACUGCUUUCCAAACAAUCUUCUCCAGCUUCUUAAAAGAAUGUCUAGCAAUGUUACAAACCUCUCUCUAUACCAAUGUUUUAAAGGGAGCUGAAGUUAAGAAUUUCCUUACAAUUCGUGAGUAUAUUGCUUUUGAUUGCUUAUUUCUUGUUUCUAUUAUGGAACAUUUAGUAUUUCCAUGAGAGACACAAAACCAUAUUUCAGAAUGGGCAGUGAAAGCUGGGUAUUUUGGAUACCAGUCAGGGAAAAGUUGGAUUUUCACUCAAAGAAAUUCCUUAGAUUUUGAGCAUCAGUAAGUAAUUUGUAUGUGAGUGUUAGCACACAUGACUGAUGGUACACAUCACUAUGAUUGAUCUUGAAAAUGACAAUUUUUUUAAAUGAAGUUUUAGAAUUCUGUAUUUAUUUGUUUCCUUUUUUUGAAGCUUAUUCUUGAUUUGCUUUAACAACAUAGCUUCAGCAUGUGAAUUCUCUAGCUUUUAUUCUUUUUGGCUAGAGCUGAUACAAUUUUGUUACAUUUUAGACUCAAAAACAAGGGAAAUCAUGCUUCUCCUCAAAGCACAAUGCACACGUCUUUAUGCAAAGUUGAAGAGCAAUCACUGUGAUAGGUUUCCAUCUUGCACAUUGUAUGCUAAGCCUCCUGUUGUCUCCAAUUAGACCUGUGUACCCGUGAAGCAUGAAGCACGAGUCCCUUCAGAUUUCAGUCAUGAACUCAGUCCUGCAAGGUUCCCUUGCCCUUGCGUUAUCGUAGGCCCUUCUGCCUGAGCUACAUGGGAGUUUCGAAGCUCCACCUGUACUUUCUGGGUCAGCACGCUCAUUUCUUUGCAAAAUGAAACCUGAUAUGAAAAGAGCACAAAAAAUACCACUUUCUGUGGGUCUUAAAUCUGCCUGAAAGCUGCAUGGAUGCCUGGGGCCAUCAGGGGACAUGCCUAGGCUCUCCUUUCUCAUAUACAAUUCAUAUUGUAUUCAGACGUGCCCCAGUGUGCAAUCAAAUCUCAUCCAAGUGCAUGCAAACUGGAAUAGGCAAGAGGCACUGGCUGCACUCUGAAUGCUUGCUGUGUCAAAAGGAACAGGAGUCCUUACUCCCAAUGGUAAUUAAGCCUUGCUGGGAAAUCAAGCGUAUGUCAUAUAGAAUAGGCUGCCUCUUCCGUUUUCUUUCACUCCCUCCCCCUCUCAACCCCAUUUUGGAUAGGAAGGAAUAAAAAAAUUGAAAAAGGGGGAGAUUUUAAAUAAUUCUUAACAACAGUUUUUCAGUUGUAGGAAAAUGUGUUGUUUGGAUAACAGCAUUACAAGAGGAAUUAUUAACUGACACUGGAAGGAAAUAACAGCAACCACAGCAAGACAGAACAAAAACCUGUCAGAAUAAAGAAAUCUUGGUCAACCCACAGAAAGGGCUAUUGGGAGGCUGUGUUGCAGAAAGAGAAUAGCAGGGCCUUUAUGUAAUGUAGAUGCUCAGGGAGGCGAGGCAGCAAGGAGAAAUAGAGAUUAUUUGCUCAUUCAGUUUUAGCUGGAAUGGGAGAUGGCUGUCUUUCCUAUCAUGCAUCAAACCAAGCUCCAGAACUCCACAACAAAAACAGUUCAAUACAGACUGUCUGCAGCUAUGUCUUUUUAUUCUCCUUUUUCAACCAGUGAUGCAUGGGAAACCACAUCUCACACAUGCUCCCCCAGCUGAAAAAAAAAAAGUCAGUUUAGAAACAACUGUCAUUACAUAGCAUAUUUUCCUCAUUAUAAGGCACUCAAAGAACAAGAAGAAGCCAUCUGCUGUAACUUGGCUGUCCUUUCUGUUUUACGUUAAUCCACAUUUCUAGCUUUUUCAUUCUCAUUCCCAAUUAAAUCUUUCUCAAAAAAAAAAAAAAAAA